UAGGGAAUCUUCGGCAAUGGGGGGAACCCUGACCGAGCAACGCCGCGUGAGUGAAGAAGGUUUUCGGAUCGUAAAGCUCUGUUGUUAAGGAAGAACGAGUGUGAGAAUGGAAAGUUCAUACUGUGACGGUACUUAACCAGAAAGGGACGGCUAACUACGUGCCAGCAGCCGCGGUAAUACGUAGGUCCCGAGCGUUGUCCGGAUUUAUUGGGCGUAAAGCGAGCGCAGGCGGUUAGAUAAGUCUGAAGUUAAAGGCAGUGGCUCAACCAUUGUAGGCUAUGGAAACUGUUUAACUUGAGUGCAGAAGGGGAGAGUGGAAUUCCAUGUGUAGCGGUGAAAUGCGUAGAUAUAUGGAGGAACACCGGUGGCGAAAGCGGCUCUCUGGUCUGUAACUGACGCUGAGGAUCGAAAGCGUGGGGAGCGAACAGG
rnacentral:rRNA from 1 species